rnacentral:tRNA from 1 species
CGGAGCGUGGCGCAGCCCGGUAGCGCACAUCAAUGGGGUUGAUGGGGUCGCAGGUUCAAAUCCUGUCGCUCCGA